UAUUUUCUCCUUCUCUACGUAACACACUUUCAUGGCAAGUAUAAAUGUUUAUUUUAUUUUUCAUUUUUAGUUAAAUUCUAUAUAUGCAAUUAUAUAGCAUAUAGUGAUAUCUUCGCUGUACUUAAGUUUUCUUGACAACAUAUGGAACAAAGGCUUGCAUUUGUUCCAUUGAAUUAUAGCAUUUUAAUGUUGAUUUUGUAAUAAUAAAUGAUUG
rnacentral:misc_RNA from 1 species